rnacentral:lncRNA from 1 species
GGCGGCCCGCGAGCGGGCCCGGCGGCGGCUCCUGCGGGCGGAGACGGGGCGGGGCCUGAGGCGGGGGGCGGGGCGGCUCCUCAGGCCCCGCCCCGGCCCGCGCGCCGGGAACAAAGGCGCCCGCGCGCCCGUGGAGAGGACCCCCGCCCGCCUCCCGCCGCGCCUGCGCCCCGCGACCCCCGGACAGGCCCAGGCAGGGACGCGGGGCGCAAUGGCGGCGGGGGCGCGCCCGCCGCUCGCGCUCCCGCGGCCCGCCGCUCCGUCCGCCGCCCUCCUCACGCCGCCCCGGCCGGCCCCGUCACGCGGCGGCAGCCCCGCGCCGGCCCGUCAGUCAGUCGCACACGCACGGGCGGUCGCCCAGCCCGCUGUCCCGCACAGGCCCGGCCGCAGCCGCUCCCUCAGCCCGCUGCCCGCGCGGCGGCCGGGAGGAAAGGUGAGGGUGCAGAGCGCCCCGGCCCGCCGGCCGAGCCCGGUUACCUGGGCGGCUGCCCGGCGGAGGGAGCCAGCCAGGCCAGGCCGGGCCGCCUCACACCCGCGGCGGCGGCGGCGGGGGCAGCGGCGGCGGCGGCGGCGGCGGCGGCGGAGGCGGGCCCUCCGCGCACCCUCUCCGGGGCGGGGCGGGGGCGGGGCAGCCUGCGGAUUGGCUGGCGGGCUUUGACGGACAGCAGGCCUGCCCCGCCCCGCCCCUUGGGCCGCUCGGGGCUGCCCCGCAGGCCGCUCCUGCGACCGCCGGACCCUCGUCCGUCCCGCCCCUGCGGCGAGCGUGGCGGGCGCUCGACGGCCCCGUCCUCCGGAGCGGCCCCCGGGCCUGAGCGCGGCCUGUCGGGCCUUCAGACCUGCGGCCCCCGGCGGCCUCCGCCUGCGCGGCUCCUCGCCCGCCGCCCGCCGCCCGCGCCACCUCACGCCCCGCCUCCUCGCGCCCCUCUGGCAGGGGUUUCCGCGGCCUCACUCCGCGUGUUUUCCUCCCGCCUCCCCCCAGGCCGCUGCCCGCGGGCCCGGAAGCCUCUCUCCGGCUGGCCUGGUCCGGAGCCGGGCGCUCAGGCGACGCCACCUCCCCAGGGCUUCACUCCCAGACCAGGCACCCCGGGCUGCCCCGCGGCGCCACUCCCCUCCGCCCUCCGCCCUCCCCCUCCCCCUCCGACUGCGCGCCCCGCUCCCUGCACUGCCCGCCCCCCCCCCGAGCCUGGCGCUCGGUCUGCUAACGUGCUUGGGCCAAGCCCCUCGGAGGUGUCUUCGACGCCGCCGCCGCCUCGGCUCCCAGCCACCUCGCGGGCCGGCCUGGCCGCGCCACCGUUGGCCCUCGCCACCCCACCCACCACGCCUGACUUGCAUCUUCUCUCGUCCAGACUCUUUACUCUCCCUGGUCUUACCUGCAUCUACUAUCCAUGCUUUAAUUUUUUUAAAAAGAAAUUAAAUCCCCAUCGGCCACCUCCGGCCCCACCGCCUCCAGGACUUCCCUUUGCACUCCAAGCCCGUGCUCCCUCCCGUCCCGGCCGGCCCUGA